rnacentral:rRNA from 1 species
UACGAAGGGGGCUAGCGUUGUUCGGAAUCACUGGGCGUAAAGCGCACGUAAGCGGAUCGUUAAGUCGGGGGUGAAAUCCCGAGGCUCAACCUCGGAACUGCCUUCGAUACUGGCGAUCUUCGAGUCCGGGAGAGGUGAGUGGAACUCCGAGUGUAGAGGUGAAAUUCGUAGAUAUUCGGAAGAACACCAGUGGCGAAGGCGGCUCACUGGCCCGGUACUGACGCUGAGGCACGAAAGCGUGGGGAGCAAACAGG